CCAAUAGCGUAUAUUAAAGUUGUUGCAGUUAAAAAGCUCGUAGUUGAAUUUCGAGAUCAAAUUGUUGGUCGUGCCUUGGUACGCACUGGCAUUAUUGGUUUCUCCCUUCUGACGAACCAUGAUGUCAUUAAUUUGGUGUCUUGGGGAAUCAGGACUGUUACUUUGAAAAAAUUAGAGUGCUUAAAGCAGGCUCACGCUUGAAUACAUUAGCAUGGAAUAAUGAAAUAGGACGUUUGAUUCUAUUUUGUUGGUUUCUAGGAUCGACGUAAUGAUUAAUAGGGAUAGUUUGGGGCAUUAGUAUUCAAUUGUCAGAGGUGAAAUUCUUGGAUUUAUUGAAGACUAACUACUGCGAAAGCAUUUGCCAAGGAUGUUUUCAUUAAUCAAGAACGAAAGUUAGGGGAUCGAAGACGAUCAGAUACCGUCGUAGUCUUAACCAUAAACUAUGCCGACUAGGGAUCGGAUGAUGUUAAUUUUUUAAUGACUCAUUCGGCGCCUUACG
rnacentral:misc_RNA from 1 species